GUUUUAAUAGUUUAAAUAAAAUAUUGGUCUUGUAAACCAAAGACAAGAUAAAUCUUUUAAAACU
rnacentral:tRNA from 1 species